UGCAAGUCGAACGGCAGCGGGUGUAGCAAUACAUGCCGGCGAGUGGCGCACSGGUGCGUAACGCGCAUGCAAUCUACCUGUAACUGGGGAAUAGCCUUCCGAAAGGAAGAUUAAUACCGCAUAAUAUCAUGAAGUGGCAUCAUUUUAUGAUCAAAACUCCGGUGGUUACAGAUGAGCAUGCGUGACAUUAGCUAGUUGGUGAGGUAACGGCUCACCAAGGCUACGAUGUCUAGGGGGUCUGAGAGGAUGAUCCCCCACACUGGUACUGAGACACGGACCAGACUCCUACGGGAGGCAGCAGUAAGGAAUAUUGGACAAUGGCCGCAAGGCUGAUCCAGCCAUGCCGCGUGCAGGAUGAAGGUGCUCUGCAUUGUAAACUGCUUUUGUUCGGGAAUAAACCCUUUCACGUGUGAGAGGUUGAAUGUACCGAAAGAAUAAGGGACGGCUAACUUCGUGCCAGCAGCCGCGGUAAUACGAAGGUCCCAAGCGUUAUCCGGAUUUAUUGGGUUUAAAGGGUGCGUAGGCGGGUUAUUAAGUCAGUGGUGAAAGCUCCCAGCUCAACUGGGAAACUGCCAUUGAUACUGAUAGUCUUGAGUAUGAUUGAAGUGGGCGGAAUGUGUCAUGUAGCGGUGAAAUGCUUAGAUAUGACACAGAACACCGAUUGCGAAGGCAGCUCACUAAGCCAUAACUGACGCUGAUGCACGAAAGCGUGGGGAGCAAACAGGAUUAGAUACCCUGGUAGUCCACGCCCUAAACGAUGAUCACUCGAUGUGUGCG
rnacentral:rRNA from 1 species